AUGGCCCUGUCGGCUGCCAAGGCGGCGCCGGCGACGCCUUUCUCGUCGCAGCCGCACGGCGGAGGCGUCCUCCUCCGGCGACCUCCGUCACCGCCGCCGCCCGCCGCGGCGCUGCGCCUCGGACCCCUCUUCUGGCCGUGGCAAAAGGUGAAAGUUGGGCCCCUUUCGGUUUCCCCCAUGGGUUUUGGAACAUGGGCAUGGGGCAACCAGCUGCUCUGGGGCUACCAGGAAAGCAUGGAUAGUGAACUGCAGGAGUGUUUCAAUUUGGCUCUGAAGAAUGGCAUAAACCUUUUCGACACCGCCGACUCUUAUGGAACUGGGAAGUUGAAUGGCCAAAGCGAAAGGCUGCUCGGCAAAUUUAUCCGCGAGUGCCAAGGGCCAAUAAAGUCUCCAGACGAUGUGAUUAUCGCAACUAAGUUUGCCGCGUAUCCUUGGCGACUAACGUCAGGCCAGUUUGUCAACGCCUGCAAGUCAUCAUUAGAAAGGUUACAGAUCGAUCGGCUCGGAAUAGGGCAGCUGCAUUGGUCUACUGCUAACUAUGCACCUCUGCAGGAGCGCGCUCUCUGGGACGGUCUAGUUGAAAUGUAUGACAAGGGUCUUGUCCGGGCCGUGGGUGUGAGCAAUUAUGGGCCGAAGCAGCUUCUGAAGAUCCACAGCUACCUAGCAUCCAGAGGUGUCCCCUUGAGCUCAGCUCAGGUGCAGUUCUCGCUGCUGAGCAUGGGCGAUGAGCAGAUGGAGCUGAAAACCGUGUGCGACUCUCUCGGCGUUCGUCUCAUCGCUUAUAGCCCUCUUGGGCUGGGCAUGCUCACCGGGAAAUAUGACGCCUCUAACCUUCCAAAUGGGCCAAGAUCUGUGUUGUUCCGGCAGAUUCUUCCUGGGCUGGAAUCCCUGCUGUCUUGCUUGAGUGGUAUUGCCGACCGAAAGGGCAAAACCAUGUCUCAGGUGGCUAUAAACUGGUGCAUUUGCAAAGGCGCAAUUCCGAUUCCGGGCGUGAAAACAGUCAGACAUGUGGAGGACAACUUGGGUGCGCUCGGCUGGAGGCUGAGCCCUGAUGAGAUCUCAGAGCUGGAAGCCGCGGCGAUGGAGUGCCCCAAGAAGAUGGUUCAGAACAUAUUUCAGACCGCAUGA
rnacentral:rRNA from 1 species